GGAGGCAGCAGUAGGGAAUCUUCGGCAAUGGACGGAAGUCUGACCGAGCAACGCCGCGUGAGUGAAGAAGGUUUUCGGAUCGUAAAGCUCUGUUGUUAGAGAAGAACGUUGGUAGGAGUGGAAAAUCUACCAAGUGACGGUAACUAACCAGAAAGGGACGGCUAACUACGUGCCAGCAGCCGCGGUAAUACGUAGGUCCCGAGCGUUGUCCGGAUUUAUUGGGCGUAAAGCGAGCGCAGGCGGUUCUUUAAGUCUGAAGUUAAAGGCAGUGGCUUAACCAUUGUACGCUUUGGAAACUGGAGGACUUGAGUGCAGAAGGGGAGAGUGGAAUUCCAUGUGUAGCGGUGAAAUGCGUAGAUAUAUGGAGGAACACCGGUGGCGAAAGCGGCUCUCUGGUCUGUAACUGACGCUGAGGCUCGAAAGCGUGGGGAGCAAACAGGAUUAGAAACCCCAGUAGUCCGAA
rnacentral:rRNA from 1 species